rnacentral:rRNA from 1 species
AUUGAACGCUGGCGGCAUGCCUUACACAUGCAAGUCGAACGGUAACAGGUCUUCGGAUGCUGACGAGUGGCGAACGGGUGAGUAAUACAUCGGAACGUGCCUAGUAGUGGGGGAUAACUACUCGAAAGAGUGGCUAAUACCGCAUGAGAUCUACGGAUGAAAGCAGGGGAUCGCAAGACCUUGUGCUACUAGAGCGGCCGAUGGCAGAUUAGGUAGUUGGUGGGAUAAAAGAUUACCAAGCCGACGAUCUGUAGCUGGUCUUAGAGGACGAUCAGCCACACUGGGACAGAGACACGGCCCGUACUCCUACGGGAGGCAGCAGUGGGGAAUUUUGGACAAUAGGCGCAAGCCUGAUCCAGCAAUGCCGCGUGCAGGAUGAAGGCCUUCGGGUUGUAAACUGCUUUUGUACGGAACGAAAAGCCCUGGGUUAAUACCCUGGGGUCAUGACGGUACCGUAAGAAUAAGCACCGGCUAACUACGUGCCAGCCGCCGCAGUAACAC